rnacentral:rRNA from 1 species
AGAACGAACGCUGGCGGCGUGGAUAAGACAUGCAAGUCGAACGGAGUAUUCUGGUAGCAAUAUCAGGAUGCUUAGUGGCAAACGGGUGCGUAACACGUAGGUUACAUUCCGGAAAGUGUGGGAUAGCCCAGGGAAACUUGGAUUAAUACCGCAUGUGAUCGCAAGAUCAAAGGUGGCAACACCGCUUUCCGAUUGGCCUGCGCCCUAUCAGCUAGUUGGUGAGGUAAUGGCUCACCAAGGCAACGACGGGUAGCUGGUCUGAGAGGACGACCAGCCACACUGGAACUGAGACACGGUCCAGACACCUACGGGUGGCAGCAGUCGAGAAUCUUUCACAAU